rnacentral:rRNA from 1 species
GACGAACGCUGGCGGCGUGCCUAACACAUGCAAGUCGAACGGGGUAAGAAGCUUCGGUUUCUUACUUAGUGGCGAACGGGUGAGUAACGCGUGAGAAACCUGCCUUUCAGUGGGGGACAACAGUUGGAAACGACUGCUAAUACCGCAUAAUGUUAUUUGAGGGCAUCCUCGGAUAACCAAAGAUUUAUUGCUGAAAGAUGGUCUCGCGUCUGAUUAGCUAGAUGGCGGGGUAACGGCCCACCAUGGCGACGAUCAGUAGCCGGUCUGAGAGGGUGAACGGCCACAUUGGGACUGAGGUACGGCCCGGACUCCUACGGGAGGCAGCAGUGGGGCAUAUUGGGCAAUGGGGGAAACCCUGACCCAGCAACGCCGCGGGAAGGAAGAAGGCCUUCGGGUUGUAAACUUCUUUUACCAGGGACGAACAAAUGACGGUACCUGGAGAAAAAGCAACGGCUAACUACGUGCCAGCAGCCGCAGUAACAC